rnacentral:lncRNA from 1 species
AUAAACAAGUUUUAGUCGAAGACUUCCAAAUUCUGAAUAUGUUUUAAUCAAAGAGGAUCAAAAUAUAAACACACCAUUUGAGCUACCAUUGCCAACUUAGUAAAUAGAAUAAUCUAUCUUCAAACUUUUUGGAUACUGCUUGCUCUGCAAAGAAGAAAACAAAGUGCAUUACUAAAAGCUGAUGAAAGACAUACUAUUUAAAUUCUGGCGUAAUAUGACAAAUAAAUACCAUGGAAAAGUUGUUGGCAUCAUCUUCAGGUCCCAUUCAUUGUAGAUGAUCCGACACUUGAAGCAAUGCUUGCCAUUGACUCCAUCCUUCCAUGCUCCGUGCAGAAAUAAUUUUUAGAUAUUACAUCCAGCAACAACUAAGAGUUAGAUUGUCAUGAGAGCUGUAGCACAUCGAAGUCUAAGAAAACAAUAAUCCCAUGCUAAAGUAGCGAAGAAUGAUAAUGUAUAUGGAAUGCAUUGGCAUUUAGAUGAACUAAGGAAAAGAAAAGGAGUGCUUGUGAAAAUGGUCUUGAGUACAGCAGCAUAAUUUAGCAUAGCCUUUUUGCCAUGGACACAUAGCAUGAUAUCACCACAAAGUGAGAUCUGUAGGAAUAAAAUGCCAUUUUAUCACACCUGUAGGAACAUAUUGCAAGUGUUAAUGAAUCUCAGUCUUGUGCGGCUGUGCCUUCAAGCAGAAUAUCACAACUUGUGCCAACAAGCACUUCAUGUUCAGGACUUGAACAAGUAGAUAAAAUUACUUCACUCAUGUACACUACCAGGCCAUAAGUUUCUGAAAUUUUUACUAUACAUAAUUGCUAGAAUAUGCAGUCUAAGCAAAAUAUAGCAAUUUCUCUGACUAAGUUUGCCGCGCCAAGAUACAGAAAGAUAUCUACUCAAGAUACGAUUGGCUACAACUCCAAAAAUCAGUAUAAAGGGAACAAAGGAUUAGAUCCAAAACACAUAAUAGUAACACAAAUUCGUAACAUCUAAAAGAAUACCUGAAGGCUCGGAGUUCUCUUCUCCGGCGUCGGUAGAUGGCGGAGCUAGGCAGGAGUGUGUGGCUGUGGAGGGGGUUGCGUCGAGGUGGAUAAUGGCGGGGCAGAGGUGGGGCGAGUUUCCCGCUGGACGUCGGAGCAGAGUACGUCCAUACUGCAGUGAGCUUGUUCCACCGGUGUGGCAGCGCAGCCCACGGCGAGAUCCGCCGCCAGGCCCCUGAUGCUUUUUGUUCUUUCUGUUCCAAACUGUGGCACACCUAAGUAACGGGGGCAUUACUGCUAUUUUGUGCUUAUGUGGGGCGCCUUUUGGCAAAAUUCUAAGAGCGGGGCGUUCGGGUUUCAUCCUAACCUUGUAUUCUGUAUCUGAUGGAUGAGCUGCGUACGGUGCAGCCGGAGCACCCAAUCCAUUGGAGUAUAGGAUACUUUCCCCCGUCAUCCUUGACCAAAUAAUGGGGCCGGUUACCCUGUGUGAGCUUGCGUGGUCCACUUCUUUUCCUUUUUUUUGUCUGUGUAUUCCACAUUUCCACUUCAAUGCCAGUCCAAAGGACUUGCUAGGAUCAAGAAAUUGGCAUGGUUUCCAACAUAUCAUAUGCCUUUGACUAAUAUGAUCUAUAGUAGUAUUUCUCUCUUAGUAAAAGUUAUGAAUCUAUACCAACGUAGAGACUAGCUUAGUAAGCUUGAAUCUGCCCAACAUUCACAUUGGAUCCAACACUAUUUUCUUCCUUGGUGCAUUUUGCUCAAUUCCUACUCAUCCAUUUAUGCAUUUUCUCAAUUUCUCGAUCCACCUUGCGGUAAACGUACAAGGAUGCAACCAACAAAGGUCCACAACUCCACAUACAAAUACUUCCGCUUGGUAUAGAAAUCCAAUUCCCCGAGACAGAGUACAUAUAUAUGGCCUACUUUGUGAGGGUCGCUGACUUGAAGAGGACAAGUCAAAGUCCCUCCCCUUUCUUUCUAUUGUUAAACUAUUCACUAGUACUUCUGCUUUUAAGUCAAAUUCUAAAUAACUUGUUGAAUCAGUAAUUUAUUAUCUUUUAUGCAAUAUCAUUUGUUGCAAACUUUUUAGUAGGAUACUUUGCCAUGUAGGUAUCAUUGGUGGUAUUUCUAUCAUAGNNNNNNNNNNNNNNNNNNNNNNNNNNNNNNNNNNNNNNNNNNNNNNNNNNNNNNNNNNNNNNNNNNNNNNNNNNNNNNNNNNNNNNNNNNNNNNNNNNNNCAAAUCUAGAUGUUACUAAUAAACCAGGUAUAGCAGGUACACAUAUACUGCACCAACUAAUGUCCGCUCCCAUGGGCUGUAAAUCUAGAUGCUACUAAUAAACAAGUUUUAGUCGAAGACUUCCAAAUUCUGAAUAUGUUUUAAUCAAAGAGGAUCAAAAUAUAAACACACCAUUUGAGCUACCAUUGCCAACUUAGUAAAUAGAAUAAUCUAUCUUCAAACUUUUUGGAUACUGCUUGCUCUGCAAAGAAGAAAACAAAGUGCAUUACUAAAAGCUGAUGAAAGACAUACUAUUUAAAUUCUGGCGUAAUAUGACAAAUAAAUACCAUGGAAAAGUUGUUGGCAUCAUCUUCAGGUCCCAUUCAUUGUAGAUGAUCCGACACUUGAAGCAAUGCUUGCCAUUGACUCCAUCCUUCCAUGCUCCGUGCAGAAAUAAUUUUUAGAUAUUACAUCCAGCAACAACUAAGAGUUAGAUUGUCAUGAGAGCUGUAGCACAUCGAAGUCUAAGAAAACAAUAAUCCCAUGCUAAAGUAGCGAAGAAUGAUAAUGUAUAUGGAAUGCAUUGGCAUUUAGAUGAACUAAGGAAAAGAAAAGGAGUGCUUGUGAAAAUGGUCUUGAGUACAGCAGCAUAAUUUAGCAUAGCCUUUUUGCCAUGGACACAUAGCAUGAUAUCACCACAAAGUGAGAUCUGUAGGAAUAAAAUGCCAUUUUAUCACACCUGUAGGAACAUAUUGCAAGUGUUAAUGAAUCUCAGUCUUGUGCGGCUGUGCCUUCAAGCAGAAUAUCACAACUUGUGCCAACAAGCACUUCAUGUUCAGGACUUGAACAAGUAGAUAAAAUUACUUCACUCAUGUACACUACCAGGCCAUAAGUUUCUGAAAUUUUUACUAUACAUAAUUGCUAGAAUAUGCAGUCUAAGCAAAAUAUAGCAAUUUCUCUGACUAAGUUUGCCGCGCCAAGAUACAGAAAGAUAUCUACUCAAGAUACGAUUGGCUACAACUCCAAAAAUCAGUAUAAAGGGAACAAAGGAUUAGAUCCAAAACACAUAAUAGUAACACAAAUUCGUAACAUCUAAAAGAAUACCUGAAGGCUCGGAGUUCUCUUCUCCGGCGUCGGUAGAUGGCGGAUCUAGGCAGGAGUGUGUGGCUGUGGAGGGGGUUGCGUCGAGGUGGAUAAUGGCGGGGCAGAGGUGGGGCGAGUUUCCCGCUGGACGUCGGAGCAGAGUACGUCCGUACUGCAGCGAGCUUGUUCCACCGGUGUGGCAGCGCAGCCCACGGCGAGAUCCGCCGCCAGGCCCCUGAUGCUUUUUGUUCUUUCUG